rnacentral:tRNA from 1 species
GAGGUAUCAAGUCAAGAAUUUCCUUGUAAAUUCGACUAUUUUUGAAUUUUUUAUCUCUCCUGAUAACUCCUGACAUUGGUGUUCGGCUGACUCUUAAUCAGCGGGUCACAGGUUCGAUCCCUGUCCGGCUCA